rnacentral:rRNA from 1 species
GAUCCUGGCUCAGGACGAACGCUGGCGGCAUGCCUAACACAUGCAAGUCGAACGGAGUAGUGACUUCGGUUAUUACUUAGUGGCGAACGGGUGAGUAACACGUGAAUAAUCUGCCCUGUACGAUGGGAUAACAGCUGGAAACGGCUGCUAAUACCGUAUAUGACCACGCCGAGGCAUCUCGGAGGGGUGAAAGCGCUUAAGCGGUACAGGAUGAGUUCGCGUCCAAUUAGCUAGUUGGUGAGGUAACGGCCCACCAAGGCGACGAUUGGUAGCCGACCUGAGAGGGUGAUCGGCCACACUGGAACUGAGACACGGUCCAGACUCCUACGGGAGGCAGCAGUGGGGAAUAUUGGGCAAUGGAGGAAACUCUUACCCAGCAAUGCCGCGUGAGUGAUGAAGGUCUUCGGAUUGUAAAGCUCUUUGAUUGGGGACGAAUAAAUGACGGUACCCAAGGAACAAGCCCCGGCUAACUAUGUGCCAGCCGCAGC